GGUGCCGUAGCCUAGUGGUUAAGGCGAUAGACUUGAAAUCUUUUGGGAUAUUCCGCGCAGGUUCGAAUCUUGCCGACUACG
rnacentral:tRNA from 1 species